UACGAAGGGGGCUAGCGUUGUUCGGAUUUACUGGGCGUAAAGCGCGUGUAGGCGGGUUUUUAAGUUGGGGGUGAAAGCCUGGAGCUCAACUCCAGAACUGCCUUUAAGACUGGACCGCUUGAGCACGUGAGAGGCGAGUGGAAUUGCGAGUGUAGAGGUGAAAUUCGUAGAUAUUCGGAAGAACACCAGUGGCGAAGGCGGCUCACUGGACUGGUAUUGACGCUGAGGUGCGAAAGCGUGGGGAGCAAACAGG
rnacentral:rRNA from 1 species